rnacentral:rRNA from 1 species
GGGGGGAUUAGUGGCGAACGGGUGAGUAACACGUGAGUAACCUGCCCUUGACUCUGGGAUAAGCCUGGGAAACUGGGUCUAAUACCGGAUAUGACUCCUCAUCGCAUGGUGGGGGGUGGAAAGCUUUUUGUGGUUUUGGAUGGACUCGCGGCCUAUCAGCUUGUUGGUGAGGUAAUGGCUCACCAAGGCGACGACGGGUAGCCGGCCUGAGAGGGUGACCGGCCACACUGGGACUGAGACACGGCCCAGACUCCUACGGGAGGCAGCAGUGGGGAAUAUUGCACAAUGGGCGAAAGCCUGAUGCAGCGACGCCGCGUGAGGGAUGACGGCCUUCGGGUUGUAAACCUCUUUCAGUAGGGAAGAAGCGAAAGUGACGGUACCUGCAGAAGAAGCGCCGGCUAACUACGUGCCAGCAGCCGCGGUAAUACGUAGGGCGCAAGCGUUAUCCGGAAUUAUUGGGCGUAAAGAGCUCGUAGGCGGUUUGUCGCGUCUGCCGUGAAAGUCCGGGGCUCAACUCCGGAUCUGCGGUGGGUACGGGCAGACUAGAGUGAUGUAGGGGAGACUGGAAUUCCUGGUGUAGCGGUGAAAUGCGCAGAUAUCAGGAGGAACACCGAUGGCGAAGGCAGGUCUCUGGGCAUUAACUGACGCUGAGGAGCGAAAGCAUGGGGAGCGAACAGGAUUAGAUACCCUGGUAGUCCAUGCCGUAAACGUUGGGCACUAGGUGUGGGGGACAUUCCACGUUUUCCGCGCCGUAGCUAACGCAUUAAGUGCCCCGCCUGGGGAGUACGGCCGCAAGGCUAAAACUCAAAGGAAUUGACGGGGGCCCGCACAAGCGGCGGAGCAUGCGGAUUAAUUCGAUGCAACGCGAAGAACCUUACCAAGGCUUGACAUGGACCCGGUAACACCUGGAAACAGGUGCCCCGCUUGCGGUCGGUUCACAGGUGGUGCAUGGUUGUCGUCAGCUCGUGUCGUGAGAUGUUGGGUUAAGUCCCGCAACGAGCGCAACCCUCGUUCUAUGUUGCCAGCGCGUUAUGGCGGGGACUCAUAGGAGACUGCCGGGGUCACUCGGAGGAAG